UGGCAUGUUUUGCAUUAAAAGUUCAGGGUUUGAGUAUUACAUCAGGUACUGGUUCGGUUUUGAAAAACCGGUCCCUGAGUAACACUUACAUUCUGGCUUUUAUCAUCGACGUAUAGUUUG
rnacentral:precursor_RNA from 15 species